CCACUUCAGCAGAUGUCCAAGGACCACUCAACUUGCCUGACAGUCCUUGAAUUAUAAUUCUUGGUCAAACUCUAAGAAACCAGCAGUGGAUGAUGAUAUAUUGACAUCAACCCUGAACAAAUGUUCAAGGCCAAUCAAGGAAAAGCUACAUCCAAGAAGACUA